GCCGCGGUGGCACAACCUGGUACUGCGCGGGCCUUGAGUGUUAAUUCACUUUUGAUCAGGUCAGCCCGUUUCCUUCGGGAUAUCCCGGUUCAAAUUGAACAGGGCUUUGGAUCCAAAGUACUAUUCAUAGAAAGUCCGGGCCGCGGCG
rnacentral:tRNA from 1 species